rnacentral:rRNA from 1 species
UGGGGAAUAUUGGACAAUGGGCGAAAGCCUGAUCCAGCCAUGCCGCGUGUGUGAAGAAGGUCUUCGGAUUGUAAAGCACUUUAAGUUGGGAGGAAGGGCAUUAACCUAAUACGUUAGUGUUUUGACAUUACCGACAGAAUAAGCACCGGCUAACUCUGUGCCAGCAGCCGCGGUAAUACAGAGGGUGCAAGCGUUAAUCGGAAUUACUGGGCGUAAAGCGCGCGUAGGUGGUUUGUUAAGUUGGAUGUGAAAUCCCCGGGCUCAACCUGGGAACUGCAUUCAAAACUGACUGACUAGAGUAUGGUAGAGGGUGGUGGAAUUUCCUGUGUAGCGGUGAAAUGCGUAGAUAUAGGAAGGAACACCAGUGGCGAAGGCGACCACCUGGACUAAUACUGACACUGAGGUGCGAAAGCGUGGGGAGCAAACA